GAUGAAGAACGUAGCGAAAUGCGAUACGUAAUGUGAAUUGCAGAAUUCAGUGAAUCAUCGAGUCUUUGAACGCACAUUGCGCCCCCUGGUAUUCCGGGGGGCAUGCCUGUCCGAGCGUCAUUGCUGCCCUCAAGCACGGCUUGUGUGUUGGGCCCCGCCCCCCGGCUCCCGGGGGGCGGGCCCGAAAGGCAGCGGCGGCACCGCGUCCGGUCCUCGAGCGUAUGGGGCUUCGUCACCCGCUCCGUAGGCCCGGCCGGCGCCCGCCGGCGACCCCCCUCAAUCUUUUCAGGUUGACCUCGGAUCAGGUAGGGAUACCCGCUGAACUUAAGCAUAUCAAUAAGCGGAGGA
rnacentral:misc_RNA from 1 species